ensembl:misc_RNA Metazoa_SRP Metazoan signal recognition particle RNA
GCCAGGUGUGGUGGUGGGCACCUGUAAUCCCAGCUACUUGGGAGGCUGAGGCAGGAGAAUUGCUUGAACCCAGGAGGUGAAGUUUGCAGUGAGCCGAGCUGAGAUCUCGCCACUGCACUCCAGCCUGGGUGACAGAGCAAGACACUGUCUCAA